CGGGUAUAGUUCAACGGUAGAACCUCAGCCUUCCAAGCUGAUGAUGCGGGUUCGAUUCCCGCUACCC
rnacentral:tRNA from 1 species